rfam:Loxodonta africana unplaced genomic scaffold scaffold_44, whole genome shotgun sequence.
GCAGUGGUGGUUCAGCGGCAGAAUUCUCACCUUUCAUUCAGGAGACCUAGGUUCAAUUCCCAGCCAGUGCA